CUGCAGUUUUGGGUGAACAGAGAGAUCCGUUGUGGAGCCUAUGACAUUUGUGUUUGGGUCCCUGAGGUUGGAAUGAGAUGAACAUGAGCCACUCAUCCUGGAUAUGCUGACCAUGCCUUUGGGAGUGCCUUUGAACCCCAUCCAAGGGAUGUACUGGUGGGCAGCCCACUCCUCCCUGAAGUCUUAGCAGCGUUUGAGCCAGUUAAAUGGUCCUAGGCAUAAGCAGCUGCCAUCUCACCAACUAACAUGGGCUACUAAAGCACAUGGCAUGGAAAGAGCUCAGUGUAUGUUGUGUAGGCACUCCAACCUGAAAUCCUUUUAAUAUAAAAACCUUAAUACUAUCACAAAUCUAACACAGGUUGACCAUCUCUAAUCUGGAAACCAGAAUUCCAAAAUGUCCCCAAACCUGAAACUUUUAGGGUGGCAAAUUGAUACC
rnacentral:lncRNA from 1 species